AAAUUGAAGAGUUUGAUCAUGGCUCAGAUUGAACGCUGGCGGCAGGCCUAACACAUGCAAGUCGAGCGGAAACGAGUUACCUGAACCUU
rnacentral:rRNA from 1 species